AAACAUCAAAAGAAAUUUGUUUCUUUUGGAACUGGAGUGUGCUGGUCUUGCCUCCCUUUUCUUGGGAUUGCCCCAGCUCCUCUAAAAUUCAUUUAGCAGAGUGCACCCAAACUUGCACAGCACUCUUCUUGGCCAUUGAUAGAUGUCUAUGUCCAAGUUGCUGAGCAGGUUUUGGAAAGGCUUCUGCUUAUAAUGGUCCACCAUGGACAACAUCCUUUGCUUGACA
rnacentral:misc_RNA from 1 species